UACGUAGGGUGCGAGCGUUGUCCGGAAUUAUUGGGCGUAAAGAGCUCGUAGGCGGUGUGUCGCGUCGGCCGUGAAAACCUGCAGCUUAACUGUGGGCUUGCGGUCGAUACGGGCAUCACUGGAGUUCGGCAGGGGAGACUGGAAUUCCUGGUGUAGCGGUGAAAUGCGCAGAUAGUCAGGAGGAACACCGGUGGCGAAGGCGGGUCUCUGGGCC
rnacentral:rRNA from 1 species